UACGUAGGAGGCGAGCGUUGUCCGGAAUUACUGGGUGUAAAGAGCGCGUAGGCGGCAGGCCAAGCGUGCGGUGAAAGUCCGGGGCUCAACCCCGGAUCUGCCGUGCGGACUGGUUUGCUAGAGCACUGUAGAGGCGAGUGGAAUUCCGGGUGUAGCGGUGGAAUGCGUAGAGAUCCGGAAGAACACCGGUGGCGAAGGCGGCUCGCUGGGCAGUGGCUGACGCUGAGGCGCGACAGCGUGGGGGAGCAAACAGG
rnacentral:rRNA from 1 species